AAAGGAAUUGACGGGGACCCGCACAAGCGGUGGAACAUGUGGUUUAAUUCGAAGCAACGCGAAAAACCUUACCAGGGCUUGACAUCUGGAGAAUUUCUGUGAAAGCAGGAAGUGCCCCUCGGGGAGCUCCAAGACAGGUGGUGCACGGCUGUCGUCAGCUCGUGUCGUGAGAUGUUGGGUUAAGUCCCGCAACGAGCGCAACCCUCGUCGUUAGUUGGUUAUAUCGGUAUACUGAUAUAGACCUCUCUAGCGAGACUGCCGGUGAUAAACCGGAGGAAGGUGGGGACGACGUCAAGUCAUCAUGCCCCUUAUGUCCUGGGCUACACACGUGUUACAAUGGACGGUACAACGAGCAGCCAACUCGCGAGAGUGAGCAAAUCUCUUAAAACCGUUCUCAGUUCGGAUUGCACUCUGCAACUCGAGUGCAUGAAGUCGGAAUCGCUAGUAAACGCAGAUCAGCACGCUGCGUUGAAUACGUUCCCGGGUCUUGUACACACCGCCCGU
rnacentral:rRNA from 1 species